rnacentral:rRNA from 1 species
AACGAACGCUGGCGGCAGGCUUAACACACGCAAGUCGAACGCCCCGCAAGGGGAGUGGCAGACGGGUGAGUAACGCGUGGGAACGUGCCCUUCGCUUCGGAAUAGCCCCGGAAACUGGGAGUAAUACCGGAUACGCCGUAUUGGGAAAGAUUUAUCGGCGAAGGAUCGGCCCGCGUUGGAUUAGCUAGUUGGAGGUGUAAUGGACCCCCAAGGCUACGAUCCAUAGCUGGUCUGAGAGGAUGAUCAGCCACACUGGGACUGAGACACGGCCCAGACUCCUACGGGAGGCAGCAGUGGGGAAUCUUGGACAAUGGGCGCAAGCCUGAUCCAGCCAUGCCACGUGAGUGAAGAAGGCCUUAGGGUUGUAAAACUCUUUCGCCGGAGAAGAUAAUGACGGUAUCCGGAGAAGAAGCCCCGGCUAACUUCGUGCCAGCCGCCGCCGUAACAC